rnacentral:lncRNA from 1 species
CCAAAACAUGUUAUUCAAAUUCAUCUUUUAAUAUCCAAAUAAUAAAACAAUAAAUGAAAUGUAGCAAAAGGGAAAGACAGUACAAACAAGCUGCUGCAGUUACCAAACACACGUGCAGUAGCCAAAAGAAGAGAAAACGGCGAAGCCAACGGCAACGCAGUAACAUGAAGAAGUAAAACUACAAGCCGCUGCAAUGAAACGCAGUGAGCUUUUAGAAUAGAAAUCACAAAAUAGCUACCAAACGUAGCAAGCCAAAAGUGAAAGCUGCUAUAGCGAAAUCCGGAAACACAGUGCAACUGAAAAGCAACUUCACACCAGCUGCUAAGACGAAUGGCGUACGAAUCCAAAGCUAAGCUAUAUGCGACAAAACGCAGCCAAAGCUUCCAAAAUGCAACUGCUACACGCCAUCCAAACAAGAAGCAGUUGCUAAGCCGCGAAGGAACCAAACCUCACAUAACCGUAACCCUUCGACAAAAUGAAGAACCUGCAAUAAAUAAGUUGUGAAUAAUGGGGUAAAUUAGUGUAAACAGAGAAGGAUAUUAUUACACUUGAGUAGUUUAAGAGCAGUAUCAACUUAGCUCCAAGGUUUGGAAAGUGACAUUGCUACGAAAAGCUUCAACAAACUUUAAUUCAGAACCAAAUUAAAACCCCCUUCAUAAUAGGAUAAAACUCUCCUCGAAACAGAAUUUCCUGCAUAAAAAGGACUUCAAGAAUCUUCACCAAGGAUGAACUUCCUUCUAACAGAACCAAGUCAUCGCAACACGACUUCUUCCAUAAUAAUCUUCUCACCAUUAACUCCACUAACCACCCUUCCCCUUUUCUCUAACAAAACUAAAAACAACACAAAUCCAAGGUUCUUCCCCUUUCAAUCUUCUACAUUUCAUGCGCAAUUUCAGUUUCGGUGUUGAGAUACCUUACGAACCCACCGUCAUUCUCGACCUCUUCGUCGUGGAAGAAACCUAUUUCUUCUCUUGUUUCAGUGAGUUUUUCUGGGCUGUGCGUGAGAGGGUUAGGCGCCGUUGAGGGAGGAUUUCUCCGGCGAUGUCGACGUUCGAGCGAAGAAUCCUCUUUAGAUGAGGCAACGGGUCAGGGAUGAAUUCGGCUUGGUGUUCAACUCGGGAAAGAAGCUUGGGCCUUGGGGAGGCCCAAGUACGUUUCAUC